rnacentral:lncRNA from 1 species
AAGUUAAGGUUCCUGGUUUGGGGACAAGUUAAGGAACUAUGAUAACCUCAGCGUAGUGAUCAAUAGAUCCUCGCUGUGUAGUUAUGUUUUUUUCUCCCAUUGACCCUUUGUGGGUAGGUCUGAUAGUUUUGGUCUUGUUUGUUCUGAUAUAUGGACUCUGUUACUGUUUGAAACUGUGUGUAGAGGCAGUCAAGACAGGUCAGAAAAUCCUUACAGAGCAACAAGAAAGUAUGUCAGAAGAAGAGAAGGGCUUAAAAAGAAAAAGGAAAAAGAAAGAAGACACAGUGUUAUCAGGUGGACAGAAAGGACAAAAUAAAAGAGCCGAGGCGGAGGAGGAAGGCGAAUUAGCUUCUGUGCCUCCUCCCUAUGCCUCCUCAGCAGUGAAAACUUGACUUUCAUAUUGACUUCCCAGAUGGACACACAGGUGAUUGAGGUUAUGGUCUCAUUACCACGAGGUAUUGUGUCCAUCUCCCCUGGGGAUCGACCAGAUCAGGUGUUGAUGUGGGCGAGAGGGUCUGUUUGUGUGUUUCCACAGGACCAGACGGAACCUCUUUGGGUGCCGGAGAGAUUGGUGAGACGCUGCAAGAAUGAGGCUCCUGAUCCAGUUGCCCCUGUGGAUGUGGUGGAUGAUCCCACAAGCACAAAGGAUGGAGCCGAGAUGAGAGAUCCUUUCGGUAUUCCAGAAGCCGAUACCAGCUCGACAUGACAUUCAAAUUUUUCCAUGCUUUUUGAUCCCUGAAUUCCCCUUAAAGAGAUAGCCCCUCUGGCUAUCUGUCCCUUGCUUCAGGGAAGAUGAGCGGGGAUGAGAGCCCUGGGAUGUAUGCUUGUUAUAGUGUGUGUGUGUUUUGUGUUUGGCACAUGUGUUAGGUGCAGAGUGUGCGGCCCGCACUUUUGCCAUGGUAGCGUAGGCUUUUGCUGCAGUGGAGGCGGGACAAUCUCCUCAGAUUCGGUUUGCCGCUCUAAAAGAAAUUAUGCUGCGUUAUGCCAUGGGGUGCGAGGCUAAGCACUGCACAGAGGAUAGCUUGCUGUUGGCAUCCUGUGGAAGGCACGUCUGAUUGCAUGAAGGUUCAGUGUCCUAGUUCCCUUCCCCUAGGAAAAACGACACGGGAGCUGGCCAAGACCUCUCUGGGUGAUGAGCCUAAGGGAUGGUUUUGUGUAGGGCCCCUAUGCUUGCACACUGGGGAUCAGACCUCUACCUUCACCCAUGAGGCUUGCUUGCAGCAAUUAAGAUCUGGCCAUAGGUUAAUUAACAUCCUGGCCUUUUGAUGCACCUGCCACAAGCAAAACAAAAUCUCCCCAGGAGUGGCUUGGCAUGAUUGAGAGGUAGUCAGUGAUAAGACUCCCUGGGCAUGUCACCAACCUAAGACAGGGAUCAAACCAAUGCUGUUUGUCACCCAAGGACGGGUAAGGGGCAUGGCUGCGGGGGGCUAUCUACAGACAUUCUCUCUGCCAAAAAAGAAAAAAGGGGGAAUUGUGGGGAGCGGGUGUGGCGGCAGUCCCAAAGGCGCCAGGGACUGCAGCUAAGUCAUAUGACUUGCACCUGACUUCCUCAUAUAAGACACAAACAUCUUGAGUGCUGCGCAGGUGUACCAGGAUACAGAUGAAUCCAAUUUGGUGGAGAUUUGCCCUUGCUGCCCUGAUUAGCUGAAGCCUCGUGACUGGCGAGGGGGCGUGGCCUGCAGUGCGUGGAUGAGAGAGAGUAUAAAAGGAGUGAGAGGCCCAGGGUUUGGGGGAGAUAUAAACAAGAAGAAUCAGGACUGAAUAAACUGCUGUUAGAAGGA